GUUGGGUUGAUGGCCCAUAUUCAGCCCAUGUGGGCUUUAUCAGCCCACAGCUCACACCCCCUCUUAACCUAACCCUAAUUAAGAUUAGGGAGGUAUGGUGGCUGUGUUUAAGAGGCAGAUUAAAGCUAUAAAAAGGCAGCAACGAGGCAGAUCUUUAGAGCCACGAGAUUCCAAAGAGAAGAAGGAGAACAAGGCAGAAAAGGAAAAGAAAGAAAGGGAAGAAGACAAGGACAACGCAGAGAGACAGUUCUCAAUCAUCU
rnacentral:lncRNA from 1 species